rnacentral:rRNA from 1 species
UACAGAGGUGGCAAGCGUUGUUCGGAAUUACUGGGCGUAAAGGGCGCGUAGGCGGUUCGUUAAGUCCUGUGUGAAAUCCCCCGGCUCAACUGAGGAACUGCACAGGAAACUAGCGGGCUUGAGUUCGGGAGAGGGAAGCGGAAUUCCGGGUGUAGCGGUGAAAUGCGUAGAUAUCCGGAGGAACACCGGUGGCGAAGGCGGCUUCCUGGACCGACACUGACGCUGAGGCGCGAAAGCUAGGGGAGCAAACGGG